GACGCAAGUUGUCGUGUUUGUCAGGAGGGAUUUAGGACUUACCAAUGGAGUUAUCAAUGUAGAGGAUGCCAAUAUCAUGCUCAUGCAAAUUGCGCAACAAAGACCAAGGAAAUCGAAACUGUGACCGGAGUUGAGGUACUUGAUAUGACCAAUCUAUUUCACUUGCCAAUGCCUGACGAAUCAGUUAAUCUAUUCAAUCAAUUUGUAGAGCAACUCAAUGUCCCAACAGUCAAUCUAAUCGAUCAAUUUGUGGAGCAACUCGAUUUGGAACACGCAAGCAAUAAGAUAGAAGCAAAGCUCUACAAUUCUAUUCAUAGCCAUCCAUUGAUCCUUUUCAAUGUGGAUAGUGAAGAUAAUUUGUGUUCUAUGAGCAAACUAUCUAUUCAUAAUGAUGAGCAGAAAAAUGAAAAAAUAUGUGAUGCUUGUGUGCAACC